UGUCGUCAGCUCGUGCUGUGAAGUGUUGGGUUAAGUCCCGCAACGAGCGCAACCCCUGCUGCCUGUUGCCACCACGAGAGGUGGGGACUCAGGCGGGACCGCCGGUGGACAAACCGGAGGAAGGUGGGGACGGACGUCAAGUCAUCAUGGCCCUUAUCGUCCUGGGCUACACACGUGCUACAAUGGCCGGUACAGAGCGACAGCGAGGCCGCGAGGCGGAGCGAAUCGACUUAAAGCCGGUCCCAGUACGGAUUGGAGUCUGCAACCCGACUCCAUGAAGUUGGAAUCGCUAGUAAUCGCGCAUCAGCAUGGCGCGGUGAAUACGUUCCCGGGCCUU
rnacentral:rRNA from 1 species